rnacentral:rRNA from 1 species
UACGGAGGGGGCGAGCGUUAUUCGGAAUUAUUGGGCGUAAAGGGCGCGUAGGCGGCUUUCUAAGUCAAAGGUGAAAUCCCUCGGCUCAACUGAGGAACUGCCUUUGAAACUGGAAGGCUUGAGGCCGGGAGGGGGUAGCGGAAUUCCCAGUGUAGCGGUGAAAUGCGUAGAUAUUGGGAGGAACACCAGUGGCGAAGGCGGCUACCUGGACCGGUUCUGACGCUGAUGCGCGAAAGCGUGGGUAGCAAAC